CGCAGCCGCGGUAAUUCCAGCUCCAAUAGCGUAUAUUAAAGUUGUUGCAGUUAAAAAGCUCGUAGUUGAAUUUCGAGAUCAAUUUGUUGGUCGUGCCUCGGUACGUACUGGCAAUUUUGAUUUCUCCCUUCUGAAGAACCAUGAUGUCAUUAACUUGGUGUCAUGGGGAAUCAGGAUCGUUACUUUGAAAAAUUAGAGUGUUUAAAGCAGGCUCGCGCUUGAAUACAUUAGCAUGGAAUAAUGAAAUAGGACGUUUGAUUCUAUUUUGUUGGUUUCUAGGAUCGACGUAAUGAUUAAUAGGGAUAGUUGGGGGCAUUAGUAUUCAAUUGUCAGAGGUGAAAUUCUUGGAUUUAUUGAAGACUAACUACUGCGAAAGCAUUUGCCAAGGAUGUUUUCAUUAAUCAAGAACGAAAGUUAGGGGAUCGAAGACGAUCAGAUACCGUCGUAGUCUUAACCAUAAACUAUGCCGACUAGGGAUCGGAUGAUGUUAAUUUUUAAUGUACUCAUUCG
rnacentral:rRNA from 1 species